UAAGGGGACGAAGCUCUCACAUCACUUCAAUGGCUGGGCAGGUUUGUUUAUCCUCUGUUCCCGCAUUUUCUUCAUCCACCUUCUGUACUUUCGUUCAUUUCUGACAAAUUCACGCGCGAACAAUGGCGUUGAUAAAUCUUUGCACACGUGCGUUUUCACUCAAGUCGUGUGCGUAAUAGUGUUCUUCCACUGCGUAAGCGAAGAGACCAAACGUUAGAGCCCCUGAUCGUUCGAAUUGCCGCGCUGUCCACCAUUCGGGUAAAUUGGAAUGCCAUGAAGACCGAUUUGUGACUGAAGUCUGCUCUUUUGCGUUCGAAACGUUGGGAAACUCAGCUGACCAAACUGCAGGUUAUUGUAAAAUGUUUUCGUGUGAAUGCUAUGUGCUUUCUGUCAUAUAUAUGUUGGCCAUUGAUGAGAGUGCAAAUCUGACUGGUAGGUCUGUAGGAUGCCAAAGCAAAGCUGCCCUGUAAACCGUUACUGUUCAUGAGUCCGCUCCUGCAGCCGUCAUAUGACCACUUGUGGGCAACCCAUGAAUGUACCUUGCUCUGGACGCUGUCGCAUCACCUGUGCUGCAAACUAGCAUUGG
rnacentral:lncRNA from 1 species